UCCUUCGUUUAGAUAAAUUUUAAAGUGAAACAGAGAAUGGAAGCCAAAUAUUUAAAAUUUAGAUUAAUUGAAAUAGCCUCCCCUCUUAAAAAAAAAUAUAGAACAAAUUUUAACAGAAAAAAGGGGGACAGAAACCUAAAGAUACAGAAUUAAAAUAAAGUGAUAAAAAGAUCCUCCGUCCUUUUCUAAACUUCUUUUUAAAGUUUUAAAUUUGGUAAAUUAGAUGUUCCCUGAAUUUAGAGUAUCCAUGGGAACAUGUCCCAUUUUUACCAGAAAUUAAUAUACCCAUAGGAACAUUACGGUACAUGUUCCUCUCCAAAGUAAUAAAGGUAUUCAUUGGAACAUCACAUGUUCCUCUCCAAAGUAAUGAAGGUAUCCAUAGGAACAUCACAUGUUCCGCUCCAAAGUAAUGAAGGUAUCCAUAGGAACAUCACAUGUUCCUCUCCAAAGUAAUAAAGGUAUCCAUAGGAACAUCACAUGUUCCUCUCCAAAGUAAUGAAGGUAUCCAUUGGAACAUCACAUGUUCCUCUCCAAAGUAAUGAAGGUAUCCAUAGGAACAUCACAUGUUCCUCUCCAAAGUAAUGAAGGUAUCCAUAGGAACAUCACAUGUUCCCCUCCAAAGUAAUGAAGGUAUCCAUAGGAACAUCACAUGUUCCUCUCCAAAGUAAUGAAGGUAUCCAUUGGAACAUCACAUGUUCCUCUCCAAAGUAAUGAAGGUAUCCAUAGGAACAUCACAUGUUCCUCUCCAAAGUAAUGAAGGUAUCCAUUGGAACAUCACAUGUUCCCGUCCAAAGUAAUAAAGGUAUCCAUUGGAACAUCACAUGUUCCUGUCCAAAGUAAUGAAGGUAUCCAUAGGAACAUCACAUGUUCCUCUCCAAAGUAAUGAAGGUAUCCAUUGGAACAUCACAUGUUCCUCUCCAAAGUAAUGAAGGUAUCCAUAGGAACAUCACAUGUUCCUCUCCAAAGUAAUGAAGGUAUCCAUAGGAACAUCACAUGUUCCGCUCCAAAGUAAUGUUCCGCUCCAAAGUAAUAAAGGUAUCCAUAGGAACAUCACAUGUUCCGCUCAAAAGUAAUGAAGGUAUCCAUUGGAACAUCACAUGUUCCUCUCCAAAGUAAUAAAGAUAUCCAUAGGAACAUCACAUGUUCCUCUCCAAAGUAAUGAAGGUAUCCAUAGGAACAUCACAUGUUCCUCUCCAAAGUAAUAAAGGUAUCCAUAGGAACAUCACAUGUUCCUCUCCAAAGUAAUGAAGGUAUCCAUAGGAACAUCACAUGUUCCUCUCCAAAGUAAUAAAGGUAUCCAUAGGAACAUCACAUGUUCCGCUCCAAAGUAAUAAAGGUAUCCACAGUAACAUCCCAUGUGUCUUACCAAUGUAAAUAAGGUAUCCAUAGGAACAUGGGAGCCUCGGUGGCCAAGUGGUCUAAGUAGUUACUACUGUAAUCACUAGCCAGUCAACACUGAGGUUGUGAAUUCAAACCCCGCUCGUGCGGGUGCACAUGACUCCAAUCUUAAUUGACUUAGGGUUGUCAGUUUUCCUAUUGAAGGUCAGUGGUUUUCUCCAGGCACUCUGGCUUCCUCCACCAAUACAAACUGGCCGCCAUGAAAUAGCCAAAGUAGUGCUUAAAAGUGGCGUUAAAACACCAAAAAAUCAAAUUCAAAUCCAUAGAUGCACUGCAUGCUCCAAAUUUACUGGUAUCUGAUAUCCAUUGGAAUCCAAAUUUAGUUGUUCAGUUUGUAUUGAUGACAGAAUUGGCUUUACAAUGAACUUUGAACUCAAAGAAAUGGAUACACAUGUUUCAGAAAAGUAAGUUUGGUACCUAUAUCUCUUUUCACACUUUUGUUGUUUUUAAAUAAUUUGUAAAUUUUAUUGUAAAUGUAACAUAUUUAAGUUGUCAAAUUUUUGUGUAAAAAGGGGAAUGACCAUUUCAAAACUGUUUUUCAAUAUUUUUGUUAAAAGAUUUUCAGAAGGAAACAGAAAAAUUAUUUAUAAAAAUGUGGAUAGUGUCAAAUGUGUAUAUAGUUUUAAGAAAAAUAGAAAAAAACAAAAAAAUGCAUGGGUGAUGGUUUUUAAUGAUUUUAAGAAAAAUAGAAGAAAAAAAAAAUAUGCAUGGGUGAUGGUUUUUAAUGAUUUUAAGAAAAAUAGAAAAAAAAAAAAAAAAAAAAAAUA